ensembl:lncRNA
GGUACAUCUUCCCUUUCCCCAUAUCCCUUCCUGUGACAGCAGAAAGGACAAGGAAAAGGAGCCCUCUUACUUGUGUUUUAAUAGCCUAGACCCUUUGGGGACCAGAAAGGGCUCAGAUCAGAGGGGAAAUAUUUUGGAGGAAACAAAGCAUGUGAAAAGAAGCCCUUUUCUACUCCCGUCUCUGCCCAGAAGACGCAGGGAGGAGUCUUGGAGGGGAAGGAGGCCCAGUGUAGACCCAGAGAGAUCCUUGGAGGAGCUUGGCUGAGCUGCAGAGAAGCAGCCACACAGAUGUGUUUGUGGGAGCCGAGAGCAGAAGAGAGCCCUGUCUGGGGCCGCCGGACUAGGGGAAGAAAUGGUUUCCUGAGGGGUUUUGAUAAGCAACGUACUAACAGCUUCAGUGUCUCCUCAACCUAAAAUGAAAAACGAGCAGUGGACAAUUGUUGGGGGUCAUGAGGCCAAAAGUGGCCCUGGGGGUCGGGUGGAGAUGACUCUGCUGUGACCUGCAGGGGCAGCUGAUGACCACAUCCAGACGGCCUUUCUCCUGCCUCCCCCACCAAACCUCAGCAUUGCGUUGGCUUUCCUGAACCUCCGGUGUGAUCUCUGGAAGGAGGGUGGACUUGAAUUAGCUGAUGUUACAUCACCAGGUUGAUCAGACCAGAAGGAAUAUGUUCACCUAGCCGAUGCAAAUUUGAGGUGGAAAAUAAGGACCAAAGGGGUUGAAAUGAGGCAUGGGGUUUCGAAGUGCUGAGAAAAGUCAGCUUGGAAUAAAAAUGCAAAGAAAGAGGGUGGGAGGGAGGAUGGGAGAGAGAGGGAGGGGGAAGGAGAGAGAGAGAUUGAAAAAUCAAUCCCCCAGCCACAGGCAGCCCAGCUGGUGGGCACCAGAUGGGAAAGCGAUGAUCUACAGAUCAGGGCCUGUUAACAAGGCUGAUGGCAACCCAAGGAAACCACCUGCAGCCGGCUUUGCAGAAAAUCAGCACCCAAGGAUGGGGCUUCCAGUAAUCCAUCGCAGGAACCACCGAGCCAUGAACUUGUUAAACGGUAGCCGCUGGAGGCCGGCUCAGCUCACGCUCAGCUGCAAACGGGGCGAAUCUCUGCCACUGGAAGACCAGAUGGCGCCAGUGUUGGUGGUGGUCUCACGGUCCCAACACGCACCUUGGCAGAUGCUGGGGUUGGCAGCUCCCGGGUCAGCUGAACUAACAUUGCCGGCAUCUUCUGAGCGUUUGAGAGGUGCAUCUGUUCGCUCUAACAAAAUGCAAUUAUUAGUGAACACGAGCUCUAUGAUGUUGUGUUGGCCUCUGCCACACAUCAACAUGAAUCUGUCACAGCGCUACCUGGAUCUCAUCUCCUUUCCUUGCUGCCUUCACUUCCCCUUGAGGACUAAGGACUGAAGAUCCCCUGAAACUCUGCUGUAGCCAGAGCUGCUUCAGGGACACAGCCUUGAGACAAUAGGUAUUGUUGAGACCAUCUGGAUGACAUAUAUGACUAAAUCCACUGAAUGCCUCUGUAUAAACUUUGAAGA